UACAGAGGGGGCAAGCGUUGUUCGGAAUUACUGGGCGUAAAGGGCGCGUAGGCGGCCUGCUAAGUCGAACGUGAAAUCCCCGGGCUUAACCCCGGGAACUGCGUCCGAUACUGGUGGGCUUGAAUCCGGGAGAGGGAUGUGGAAUUCCAGGUGUAGCGGUGAAAUGCGUAGAUAUCUGGAGGAACACCUGUGGCGAAGGCGGCCCCCCUGGUUGGAUACUGACGCUGAUACGCGAAAGCGUGGGGGAGCAAACAGG
rnacentral:rRNA from 1 species